rnacentral:rRNA from 1 species
AUUGAACGCUGGCGGCAGGCCUAACACAUGCAAGUCGAACGAGUGGAGGACGGGCGAGUAAUGUCUGGGCAACUGCCUGAUGGAGGGGUAUAACGACUGGAAACGGUAGCUAAUGCCGCAAACCGUCAUAUGGGCCCAGAUGGGAUUAGCUAGUUGGUGGGGUAACGGCUCACCAAGGCGAAGAUGCCUAGCUGGCCUGAGAGGAUGACCAGCCACACUGGGACGGAGACACGGCCCAGACUCCUACGGGAGGCAGCAGUGGGGAAUAUUGCACAAUGGGCGCAAGCCUGAUGCAGCAAUGCCGCGUGUAUGAAGAAGGCUUUCGGGUUGUAAAGUACUUUCAGCAGGGAGGCGGUAUCCGCCGAAGAAGCCACGGCUAACUCCGUGCCAGCCGCCGCGGUAAUAC